GCAAGUCAAGGAGAAAGCUUUCUUCGGAAAGUGAUUAAACUGGCGAACGGGUGAGUAACGCGUAGGCAACCUGCCCUAUAGUUUGGGAUAACAUCGGGAAACUGAUGCUAAUACCGGAUGAUGCAACAUUUUCUUCGGAAAAAGUUGUUAAAGCGGGCUUCGGCUCGCGCUUUAGGAUGGGCCUGCGUCCGAUUAGCUUGUUGGUAAGGUAAUGGCUUACCAAGGCAAUGAUCGGUAGCUGGUCUGAGAGGAUGAUC
rnacentral:rRNA from 1 species